rnacentral:rRNA from 1 species
GCCUACGGCCAUCCCACCCUGGUAACGCCCGAUCUCGUCUGAUCUCAGAAGCUAAGCAGGGUCGGGCCUGGUUAGUACUUGGAUGGGAGACCUCCUGGGAAUACCGGGUGCUGUAGGCU